rnacentral:lncRNA from 10 species
CACUUCUGCCCAGCAGCACUGCCAGUGACAGUCUGAGAGUGGUAAUAUCUCUUAGUCUUUGACUCAAAAGGUCUCAUUUGACCUCUCUGAAGUUCAGCUGAUGAUAGAAAUCUUGGUUAAAUUAUUUUCCCUCAGUGCUUUGGAGAUUCUCCUGCAUGUCUUCUGGCCUCCAUAAAUGAUGAUAACAGGCUGUCCCUUACUCCAGAGAAUUUAAGCAGAAAUAUGACUACUUCAGGAAGAAAUUAAAGAAACCUGCUGAUAUCCCCAAUAGGUUUGAAAUGAAACUUCACAGAAAUAACAUAUUUGAAGAGUCCUAUCGGAGAAUUAUGUCCGUGAAAAGACCAGAUGUCCUAAAAGCUAGACUGUGGAUUGAGUUUGAAUCAGAGAAAGGUCUUGACUAUGGGGGUGUGGCCAGAGAAUGGUUCUUCUUACUGUCCAAAGAGAUGUUCAACCCCUACUACGGCCUCUUUGAGUACUCUGCCACGUA